rnacentral:lncRNA from 1 species
UGAAAGGAAAAAGCAGCUUUACAUAGAAAGAAUGGAGAGGCCAGAAAUGGUAAAUUAUCAAGCUGUAGUUCACUUGAAACAAAGGGAUUGUGAUCUUUGUACACAAGACAUAUUUGAACAUAUUUCUUCAACAGAGAUUAACCUCAGACCUACUGUGUGACAUAAGUUAUUGAAAAUGCUGGAUUACGAGGGAGGUGGAUCACGAGGUCAAGAGAUCAAGACCAUCCUGGCCAACAUGAUGAAACCCUGUCUCUACUAAAAUUAGCCAGGCAUGAUGGCGUGCACCUGUAGUCCCUGCUACUUAGGGGGCUGAGGCAGGAGAAUCACUUGAACCUGGGAGGCAGAGGUUGCAGUGAGCCCAUUUCGCACCACUGUACUCCAGCCUGAUGACAGAGCGAGACUCCAUUUCAAAGAAAAAGAAAAAAAAAAGAAAGAAAAUACUGGAUUAAUGUGCGAGGAGUUACUGGCUGAAGUCACACACAAAAAGCAUCUCUUUGUGUACGAUCCAUGAAUUUAAUGAUUUAUCUAUCAUACGUUUUUCUUUUCAAGAAACCGAGUAUAUGCGGAUGUGGUUAUGGAACUACUUCUUCAAAUACAAUGACG